rnacentral:rRNA from 1 species
AUGUGCAUCAACACCAGAACCAUGUUCCCGAUCAUGGACGCUGUUGUGUCCCUCACCGGCUCUCUCCUUGCCAUCACCGAGAGGGUUGUGCAGGCCACUACUCGCGCAACUACUUUGCAGUGUGGAGCAUGCCAUCGAGAUAGACCAAAAGAAGAACAUCGCCGACAACAACACCAACGGGGGCCUCCUUGGUUGCCACCACCGCCGCUGCCGUCGUCGCCCUCCCUGCCACCCCACACCACACUGCCAGAUAGGUAUGUGUGCUUUUCCCUUGCCCCCUGCUUAUUGCACUCUUGCCUAUAUGUAAUCUCCUAUUCUGUUGUAAAAUUCUUUUUGCUUAUGAUUUCUUAUUGUAGUGUGAAAUUUUAA